UCUCGCAGCCAGGCGGGUCCUGGGAGAGGCGCGAGCCAGGCCUGGUCGGCGCCCGCGGAGAAAAGAAGCAGUCAAGCCCAUGAACUACAACCCCGGUUGCCGCUUUCUCCUCUCCUAACCGUUAAGUGCGCUAAGGGCCAUGGCUGAGGUGCACGUGAUCGGGCAGAUCAUGGGGGCCAGCGGUUUCUCGGAAAGUAGCCUCUUCUGCAAGUGGGGCAUUCACACAGGGAGUUGCUGGGGAUGUUGAUCCAGCCAAGAAUACUGAGGCAGUUGGAUGAAAGGCUUGGGCUCUGCAGUUAGAGCUGAGUCUGAAUCCAGUCCCAUGAUGGGACCUUGGUCUGCUAUAGUCACUGCUAUGUCACCAGCAUGGAAAACAGUGCUUGGCACAUAGCAGGUGCUGAAUAAAUGUUCAUGAACUCAC
rnacentral:sRNA from 1 species